CGGGUGACCUCGGCCAGGAUGAGGAUUUGUGGAUUCAAGGAGGUCACCGUUAGUACAGCACCUGUCAGACUCUAGUUACAGUCACCAUGGUGAGCCAGCCAUUGUGAGGCUAAGUUUGGAAGAGCCGUCACGGGGCAGCGGGCACAGAUUGCUGUGUGUGUCUCUACAGAACCAGGCCCGGGGGCAGGAAGCCCUAAGAAGGCAGAUACCAGCUCAGCGUUAAGGACGGUCUCACAUGGAAGCGUUGAUGUAAUCAAAGUAAAUGAGGUCAUUAGGGUGGGCCCUAAUCUAGUGAUCGGUGGGAAGUAUGAACACAGAGACAGAUGUGCACAGAGAGAAGGUGGCCAUAUGACCAUGGAGGCAGAGAUUGGAGCGAUCCAGCUAUGAGAACACCAAGGAUUUCUGGUACUUCCAGAAGCUAGAGGAAGCAAAGAGGGGUUCUCCCUAGAGCCACCCAGUUUGUGGGGCUUUGUCAUGACAGCCCCAGGAAACAAAUACAGCCACUAACUCAUGA